rnacentral:rRNA from 1 species
AUACGGAGGGUGCAAGUGUUAUUCGGAAUCACUGGGCGUAAAGGACGCGUAGGCGGGUUGGCAAGUCAUAUGUGAAAUCCUACAGCUUAACUGUAGAACUGCAUUUGAAACUGCUAACCUAGAGUAUGGGAGGGGGAGAUGGAAUUAGUGGUGUAGGGGUAAAAUCCGUAGAUAUCACUAGGAAUACCGAAAGCGAAGGCGAUCUCCUGGAACAUAACUGACGCUAAGGCGUGAAAGCGUGGGGAGCAAACAGGAUUAGAAACCCCUGUAGUCC